rnacentral:rRNA from 1 species
AGCGAACGCUGGCGGCAGGCCUAACACAUGCAAGUCGAACGGACCCUUCGGGGUUAGUGGCGGACGGGUGAGUAACACGUGGGAACGUGCCUUUAGGUUCGGAAUAGCUCCUGGAAACGGGUGGUAAUGCCGAAUGUGCCCUUCGGGGAAAGAUUUAUCGCCAUUGGAGCGGCCCGCGUCUGAUUAGCUAGUUGGUGAGGUAAAGGCUCACCAAGGCGGCGAUCAGUAGCUGGUCUGAGAGGAUGAUCAGCCACAUUGGGACUGAGACACGGCCCAAACUCCUACGGGAGGCAGCAGUGGGGAAUCUUGCGCAAUGGGCGAAAGCCUGACGCAGCCAUGCCGCGUGAAUGAUGAAGGUCUUAGGAUUGUAAAAUUCUUUCACCGGGGACGAUAAUGACGGUACCCGGACAAGAAGCCCCGGCUAACUUCGUGCCAGCAGCCGCCGUAACAC